ACAGACAGCAGUAGCCACGGUAAUACAGAGGGUGCGAGCGUUAAUCGGAUUUACUGGGCGUAAAGCGCACGUAGGCGGACUUUUAAGUCAGGGGUGAAAUCCCGGGGCUCAACCCCGGAACUGCCUUUGAUACUGGAAGUCUUGAGUAUGGUAGAGGUGAGUGGAAUUCCGAGUGUAGAGGUGAAAUUCGUAGAUAUUCGGAGGAACACCAGUGGCGAAGGCGGCUCACUGGACCAUUACUGACGCUGAGGUGCGAAAGCGUGGGGAGCAAACAGGAUUAGAUACCCGUGUAGUCCCUGUCUCUUAUAA
rnacentral:rRNA from 1 species